CGUACGGGAGGCUGCAGUAGGGAAUCUUCCACAAUGGGGGAAAGCCUGAAGGAGCAACGCCGCGUGGGUGAAGAAGGUCUUCGGAUCGUAAAACCCUGUUGUUAGAGAAGAAAGUGCAUGAGAGUAACUGUUAACGUUUCGACGGUAUCUAACCAGAAAGCCCGGGAUAACGACGGGCCAGCAGCUGAGGUAAUACGUAGGGGGCAAGCGUUAUCCGGGGUGAUUGGGCGUAAAGGGCGCGCAGGCGGGCUUUUAAGUCUGAUGUGAAAGCCUAUGGCUUAACCGUAGGAGUGCAUUGGAAACUGUGAGUCGUGAGUACAGAAGAGGUGAGUGGAACUCUAUGUGUAGAGGUAAAAGGCGUAGAGA
rnacentral:rRNA from 1 species